UAGGGAAUCUUCCACAAUGGGCGAAAGCCUGAUGGAGCAACGCCGCGUGAGUGAGGAAGGCUUUCGGGUCGUAAAGCUCUGUUGCCAGGGAAGAAUAAGGAUCAUUUAACUGAUGAUCCGAUGACGGUACCUGAGAAGAAAGCCCCGGCUAACUACGUGCCAGCAGCCGCGGUAAUACGUAGGGGGCAAGCGUUGUCCGGAAUUAUUGGGCGUAAAGCGCGCGCAGGCGGCUCUUUAAGUCUGGUGUUUAAGUGCGGGGCUCAACCCCGUGACGCACUGGAAACUGGGGAGCUUGANUGCAGAAGAGGAGAGCGGAAUUCCACGUGUAGCGGUGAAAUGCGUAGAGAUGUGGAGGAACACCAGUGGCGAAGGCGGCUCUCUGGACUGUAACUGACGCUGAGGCGCGAAAGCGUGGGGAGCAAACAGGAUUAGAUACCCUGGUAGUCCACGCCGUAAACGAUGAGUGCUAGGUGUUGGGGGUAUCAUGCCCUCGGUGCCGAAGUUAACACAUUAAGCACUCCGCCUGGGGAGUACGGUCGCAAGACUGAAACUCAAAGGAAUUGACGGGGGUCAUGAGCUGUUUCCUG
rnacentral:rRNA from 1 species